rnacentral:rRNA from 1 species
UACAGAGGUCUCAAGCGUUGUUCGGAUUCACUGGGCGUAAAGGGUGCGUAGGCGGUCGGGUAAGUCUGACGUGAAAUCUUCAAGCUCAACUUGGAAACUGCGUCCGAUACUAUUCGGCUAGAGGAAUGGAGGGGAGACUGGAAUACUUGGUGUAGCAGUGAAAUGCGUAGAUAUCAAGUGGAACACCAGUGGCGAAGGCGGCAUCCUGGACCAAUUCUGACACUGAGGAGCGAAAGCCAGGGGAGCAAACGGG